CAAUAGCGUAUAUUAAAGUUGUUGCGGUUAAAAAGCUCGUAGUUGGAUUUCUGCUGAGGACGACCGGUCCGCCCUCUGGGUGAGUAUCUGGCUUGGCCUUGGCAUCUUCUUGGAGAACGUAGCUGCACUUGACUGUGUGGUGCGGUAUCCAGGACUUUUACUUUGAGGAAAUUAGAGUGUUUCAAGCAGGCACACGCCUUGAAUACAUUAGCAUGGAAUAAUAAGAUAGGACCUUGGUUCUAUUUUGUUGGUUCUAGAGCUGAGGUAAUGAUUAAUAGGGAUAGUUGGGGGCAUUCGUAUUUAACUGUCAGAGGUGAAAUUCUUGUUAUUGAUAAGACGACUACAUGCGAAAUGCAAUUGCAAGAUGUUUUUCAUUGAUCAAGAACGAAAGUUAGGGGUAUCGAAGAUGAUCAGAU
rnacentral:rRNA from 1 species